rnacentral:rRNA from 1 species
AAUCAAACGAGAUUCCUCGAGUAACGGCGAGUGAAAGGGGAAGAGCUCAGCGUGUAGCCUCGGGGAUGCCCUCCAAGUGAGUGUGUUAAUCCUUCGAUGGGAUGCCACGUAUGGGAGAAUACUAGAAGAGUCUGCGGCCCGGCAAUCCGAACUGUUUGAUGAAACAUUGGCCAUAGAGGGUGUUAGCCCCGUAGGACCGUUGUUGUCGCGACUUUUCACGGUGUUCUCUCGAGAGUCGGGUUGUUUGAGAAUACAGCCUUAAGAGGUGGGAAACUCCAUCUAAAGCUAAAUAUUACUGCGAGACCGAUAGAAAACAAGUACCGUGAGGGAAAGUUGAAAAGGACUCUGAAGAGAGGGUUAAAGAGAGCGUGAAACUGCUACGGGGAUAAAGCGGAUACAUUAGCGUAGUCGAAAAGGGAGAUACAGCACGUUGGCAGUCGAUCUAUCGGCGUAUCGUACGUAAGGGAGCAUCCCGAAACGUUAGAUUGUGUUAAAGCUUUCUUCGUUUCGGUUCUUGGUUCUUCUCGUCACGUUCGCUUUUACGUUCGUACUCUAACGAGUCUAAAUCUCUCCUUAGUAGGCCGUCGCGACGGUUCGAGAGUUGUCGAAGGCUUGAGAAGGUUACGGGAACCCGUCGUUGUUCGUUGGAUUGAUUUAAUCUUUUUUUCGUUCGACGAUGGGGGACACUUCCUCGAAAUUACUGGCGGAUUCUCGGACCGGAGAAACAAACGUUGCGAUCUCGCUUUUUGCUUGAGAGGUAGACGUAAGUGCGACGCUAUAUAUGCGAAUAAUUUAUCCGUCCCGUCUUGAAACACGGACCAAGGAGUCUAACAUGUACGCGAGUCGAAGGGUCUACUAAACCCCCAGGCGUAAUGAAAGUGAAUUAUUUUAUGGAUUGAUCCGAUGCCCUCUGUGCGAGGCCGGCGCAAAUCCGGGACCCGUCUACUGCUUCUAUUUAUAGAUUUAUGUGGCGGGUACCUUGAGCGUACACGUUGGUACCCGAAAGAUGGUGAUCUAUGCUUGGCCGGGAUGAAGCCAGAGGAAACUCUG